rnacentral:rRNA from 1 species
CCUACGGGUGGCAGCAGUGGGGAAUAUUGCACAAUGGGGGAAACCCUGAUGCAGCAACGCCGCGUGAGUGAAGAAGUAUUUCGGUAUGUAAAGCUCUAUCAGCCGGGAAGAAAAUGACAGUACCUGACUAAGAAGCCCCGGCUAACUACGUGCCAGCAGCCGCGGGAAUACGUAGGGGGCAAGCGUUAUCCGGAUUUACUGGGUGUAAAGGGAGCGUAGACGGGUACGCAAGUCAGAAGUGAAAGCUCGGGGCUCAACCGCGGGACUGCUUGUGAAACUGCGUAGCGAGAGUGCAGGAGAGGUAAGUGGAAUUCCUAGUGUAGCGGUGAAAUGCGUAGAUAUUAGGAAGAACGCCGGUGGCGAAGGCGGCUUACUGGACUGUAACUGACGUUGAGGCUCGAAAGCGUGGGGAGCAAACAGGAUUAGAUACCCGAGUAGUC